rnacentral:rRNA from 1 species
GUUGUCCGGAUUUACUGGGCGUAAAGAGCGCGCAGGCGGUCGUUUAAGUCGCAUGUGAAAGCCCCCGGCUCAACUGGGGAGGGUCAUUCGAUACUGAUCGACUUGAAGGCAGGAGAGGGAAGUGGAAUUCCGGGUGUAGUGGUGAAAUGCGUAGAUAUCCGGAGGAACACCAGUGGCGAAGGCGACUUCCUGGCCUGUUCUUGACGCUGAGGCGCGAAAGCUGGGGGAGCAAACGGG